CAUAGAACCUGGUAGUGGGGGCAGGGAGGAGAGGAUAAAGGUCACAGGCCAAGAAGCACUCUACCAAGAUCAGGGACCAAUGGUCAGGACUCCCCACCUCCAGGCCGUUCCAAUUCAUAGGCACCGGAGAACGUCCCACGCCACAGGGGGAAGGGUUGUGGGCUGCUGGCCAGGGACCCACCCUCCAGGGCGUCCAAGAGCUCCAGGGACCCUGGACCCCCAUGCACCUAGCGAGGGUCACUAUGCUAUGGCCCCGGGUGCCCCUCAUUUCCAAAGCCUCUAACGUUUGCCGUGGAGUCACGAUGCCGAUGGCCGGGGUGCUCUCUGUUCCUAGGGCAUCCCCCUUGCCAGAGGGCUGGGCACAGCACCACGGGCCCGCACGUUUGCAGGCACCGCAGAUUCCCAGGAAGCCUGCCCUUCCCAGACCCGGAAAUCCUACGACCGACCGCUUCGGCCUCCCAGGUGCCCAGGGCACCUCCAGGUCGCGGGACUUCUUUCCAGGGUUCCUGGCAUUCAGACUGGGAGCCAUAGGACUCUAGACGGGAGCCCUGGGAUGGCUCUGGAAGCCCCAGAUCCCUAGGGAGACGUAGGGACCCCAGCUACACAGUCACGGGACAAGUAAGUGGAGACUUCAGAUUCCAGAAGGUCAGCGAUGGCCCGGGGAGUCUAAGACCCUGUGGGCCAAGGUGGCUCUGGUGCCCUCGUGUCUGGGCUGCAAGAAGUCCGAGCCAGCUGAGCCUGGACACCUCCCAGCCUUACCUCUGGGGCCUGGGGUCUCACCUGCCGGCCUUUUCCGGGACGACGCCGCGAAUCCUCAUCACGGUGCCCACCCGGAUGCCCUCGGGCAGCGACGUCUUGUGGGGCACGUUCUGCAGGUUCAGCGGCGGGGAGUCCGAGGGAACCGGGGGCGCGGACGAGAGACACACGUGGGUCGGCCCCAGGCAGAAAGCAUCCGGGACCCAGAUCGGCCGAAUCCGUGAGAAGAAAAGGCCCAGAGACCGAGGGGAGAGAGCCAGAGCCAGACCAAGAGUGGGAGAGCCAACCACGAGGGAUCAACGGAGAAAGGGAGAAUCCAGAGAGGCAGGUGGGAGCGUGGGGAUGGGUUGGGUCCCCCCGGGAGCCACAGCCCAGACCCUUGGUAGCACACCCUGGCACCCACUUUGUCCUUCCCGGCGGGACACCUCAGCCAGGCCCAGCCCCUCCCCGAGUCCGGUGCCGCCUUGGGUCCAAGCCCCCCGGGCCCCGACGCCCCCCGAAGGCACUCACAGAGCUUCCCGCCAUGGCUGGGAUGCUGGGGCGACAGGUGUGGCCGUGGGUAUGGCUGCUGGGACCUUAAGUAGAAGCAGAAGCAGGGCGUGGCGGCCCCCGCUGACUCACCCCCAGCCAUUUCCACACCCGCCGCCCACACCUGGCACAGACCCUGGCCCUGGGGCCACCCGGCGGCCCAGCGCCUUCUUGCUGGGCCCGGGACUUCCCUCCACUCACUGAGGGUUCCCAGUCCACCGCCCGCCCCCUCCGUUGAGCUAAGAAUCCUGAAGACAGUUAAGGAUGAACCGCCAAGGACAGAGGGGACCCAGGGGGCCACCAUCCAUCCCGGCCAUGUCCCUGCCGCUUGGCACAGGGGAAAGGGUCUUUGCCCAUUUUAUCUUGGACAUCUGGGGCCCCGAGAGGCCCACCCGGGGCUGGAAGCGGGGGCCCCUCUCUCCCAGGCUGGGACCUGCGCCUUGGGCUGAGGACGCGUCCACUGAAAUUCCAGCUCACGCUCCCUCGCGUGACGGUGACCCCGGCAAGGACAACACUGUGCCCGCGGGGCUCCGGGGGGCAGGACGUGUGCCUGAUGAGCCGCGUCUCCCGGGGCCUACAGCAGCGGCUGGUACACGGUCUGGGCUCCUCAAGUGCGCCUGAAAGACGAAUAAGGAACGACACCAGCGCCUGGUCUGAGGUCCUGGGCGCCUGGCGCACACAGGGCCUCCCCGAGCGCUCACCGCUAGCCGAGCGGGGAAGGGGAUCACUCGCCCCCACUUCACAGACCAGGAAACCGAGACUCAGACACGGGAGGCCGUUUGCCCGAAGGCGCACGGCCGGGCAAUCCCUGGACCUUGACACUUGAGAAGCUUGGAGGCGGAUGUCCCCUGGUGGCCAGCUACAGGUUAGGCACUGUUGGCUGAAGAGCCACAGAAGCGACAGCGCCUGCCUCCUCCAGCUGCCUCGCCCCUCGCGUGUCCCAUCGCUGCCAUGUGAGGACAAAGCAAGAAGGAUCCAUCUAUGAACCAGGAAUCAGGUUCACACCAGACACCCGAUAUGCUGGCGCCGUGAUCGUGGACUUCCCAGCCUCCGGAACCACGAGAAAUAAAUUCCUGAUGUUUGUAAGCUGCCGGUGGGUGGGAUUUUUGUUAUAGCAGCCCCGACAGAGUAAGACCACAUCAGUAUGGACCCAUUGACUCAUGGGGCUGUCCAAGGAGCCCCAGUGCCGUGAACGCUUCCUCCUUUCCCGACCCAGGAAGCUGUUCCAGGCGAUGAGGGGGUGUGGGGCAAGCUGAGGGCAAGGUGCCGGUUAACAGCACCCCCCCCGGGGGGGAUAUGUGUGAUACUCCUUGCACACUCUCCACUACCCAAAAACAGGAAAGGACAAAAAAAACAAAUGGUUAAACUGGGAAGAGUCUCCACCAGUUUAUAAGAAACAGGCAAUCCCAUCCUGCCUAAAGUCCAGGAACUCCUUACAGUCCUUUUUUGUUUUUUUAAUGUUUAUUUUUGAGAAGGGGGGGGAA